rnacentral:rRNA from 1 species
UACGUAGGGGGCGAGCGUUGUCCGGAAUUACUGGGCGUAAAGGGUGCGUAGGCGGCGCCUUAAGUCAGAUGUGAAAUAUCCGUGCUUAACGCGGAGGGUGCAUUUGAAACUGGGGUGCUUGAGUGCAGGAGAGGAAAGUGGAAUUCCUAGUGUAGCGGUGAAAUGCGUAGAUAUUAGGAGGAACACCAGUGGCGAAGGCGACUUUCUGGACUGUAACUGACGCUGAGGCACGAAAGCGUGGGGAGCAAACAGGAUUAGAUACCCUGGUAGUCCACGCUGUAAACGAUGGAUACUAGGUGUAGGGGGCGAUAGCUCUCUGUGCCGCAGCAAACGCAAUAAGUAUCCCGCCUGGGGAGUACGAUCGCAAGGUUGAA